UACGGAGGGUGCAAGCGUUGUCCGGAUUUAUUGGGUUUAAAGGGUGCGUAGGCGGCCCAUUAAGUCAGGGGUGAAAUCCCACGGCUCAACCGUGGAACCGCCCUUGAUACUGUUGGGCUUGAGUACAGUUGAGGUAGGCGGAAUUUAUGGUGUAGCGGUGAAAUGCAUAGAUACCAUAAAGAACACCGAUAGCGAAGGCAGCUUACUGGACUGUUACUGACGCUGAGGCACGAAAGCGUGGGGAGCGAACAGG
rnacentral:rRNA from 1 species